rnacentral:rRNA from 1 species
GAUGAACGCUGGCGGCGUGCCUAAUACAUGCAAGUCGAGCGAACGGACGAGAAGCUUGCUUCUCUGAUGUUAGCGGCGGACGGGUGAGUAACACGUGGAUAACCUACCUAUAAGACUGGGAUAACUUCGGGAAACCGGAGCUAAUACCGGAUGAUAUUUUGAACCGCAUGGUUCAAAAGUGAAAGACGGUCUUGCUGUCACUUAUAGAUGGAUCCGCGCUGCAUUAGCUAGUUGGUAAGGUAACGGCUUACCAAGGCUACGAUGCAUAGCCGACCUGAGAGGGUGAUCGGCCACACUGGAACUGAGACACGGUCCAGACUCCUACGGGAGGCAGCAGUAGGGAAUCUUCCGCAAUGGGCGAAAGCCUGACGGAGCAACGCCGCGUGAGUGAUGAAGGUCUUCGGAUCGUAAAACUCUGUUAUGAGGGAAGAACAUAUGUGUAAGUAACUGUGCACAUCUUGACGGUACCUAAUCAGAAAGCCACGGCUAACUACGUG